rnacentral:rRNA from 1 species
ACCCACUAUCUUUAGUCGGAUAGUAUCCUUACGUGAAUACAUAGCGUGAGGAAGGCAGACCCAGGGAACUGAAACAUCUAAGUACCUGGAGGAAGAGAAAGAAAAAUCGAUUUCCUGAGUAGCGGCGAGCGAAACGGAAAGAGCCCAAACCAAGAAGCUUGCUUCUUGGGGUUGUAGGACACUCUAUACGGAGUUACAAAAGAAAGUUAUAAAUGAAGCGGUCUGGAAAGGCCCGCCAAAGACGGUAACAGCCCGGUAGUUGAAAUGGCUUUCCCUCCAGAGUGGAUCCUGAGUACGGCGGAACACGUGAAAUUCCGUCGGAAUCCGGGAGGACCAUCUCCCAAGGCUAAAUACUCCCUAGUGACCGAUAGUGAACCAGUACCGUGAGGGAAAGGUGAAAAGCACCCCGGAAGGGGAGUGAAACAGUUCCUGAAACCGUGUGCCUACAAGUAGUUAGAGCCCGUUAAUGGGUGAUAGCGUGCCUUUUGUAGAAUGAACCGGCGAGUUACGAUUUGUUGCAAGGUUAAGCGGAAAAAGCGGAGCCGUAGCGAAAGCGAGUCUGAAUAGGGCGCAUAAGUAACAGGUCGUAGACCCGAAACCAGGUGAUCUACCCAUGUCCAGGAUGAAGGUAAGGUAAUACUUACUGGAGGUCCGAACCCACGCACGUUGAAAAGUGCGGGGAUGAGGUGUGGGUAGCGGAGAAAUUCCAAUCGAACUUGGAGAUAGCUGGUUCUCUCCGAAAUAGCUUUAGGGCUAGCCUCGAGGUAAAGAGUCAUGGAGGUAGAGCACUGUUUGGACUAGGGGCCCUUCUCGGGUUACCGAAUUCAGAUAAACUCCGAAUGCCAUGUACUUAUACUCGGGAGUCAGACUGCGAGUGAUAAGAUCCGUAGUCGAAAGGGAAACAGCCCAGACCACCAGUUAAGGUCCCCAAAUAUAUGUUAAGUGGAAAAGGAUGUGGGGUUGCUUAGACAACCAGGAUGUUGGCUUAGAAGCAGCCACCAUUGAAAGAGUGCGUAAUAGCUCACUGGUCGAGUGACCCCGCGCCGAAAAUGUACCGGGGCUAAACAUAUUACCGAAACUGUGGAUGAACCUCUUUAGAGGUUCGUGGUAGGAGAGCGUUCUAAGGGCGGUGAAGUCAGACCGGAAGGACUGGUGGAGCGCUUAGAAGUGAGAAUGCCGGUAUGAGUAGCGAAAGAAGGGUGAGAAUCCCUUCCACCGAAUAUCUAAGGUUUCCUGAGGAAGGCUCGUCCGCUCAGGGUUAGUCGGGACCUAAGCCGAGGCCGAUAGGCGUAGGCGAUGGACAACAGGUAGAGAUUCCUGUACCAGUGCUAAUUGUUUAACCGAUG